UACGUAGGGUGCGAGCGUUGUCCGGAAUUAUUGGGCGUAAAGAGCUCGUAGGCGGCUUGUUGCGUCUGCUGUGAAAUCCCGGGGCUUAACCCCGGGCGUGCAGUGGAUACGGGCAGGCUGGAGGCAGGCAGGGGAGAAUGGAAUUCCUGGUGUAGCGGUGGAAUGCGCAGAUAUCAGGAGGAACACCGGUGGCGAAGGCGACUCUUUGGUCUGUAACUGACGCUGAGGCGCGAAAGCGUGGGGAGCAAACAGG
rnacentral:rRNA from 1 species